rnacentral:rRNA from 1 species
AGGGGUCUUGACGGAGCUUGCUCUUGAUAGACGACCGGCGCACGGGUGAGUAACGCGUAUCCAACCUGCCCGUUCAUUUUGGGAUAGCCUUCCAAAGGGAGAUUAAUACCGAAUAACAUAUCAGAAUUGCAUGAUACUGAUAUGAAAGAUCCGUCGAUGAAGGAUGGGGAUGCGUUUCAUUAGGUAGUAGGCGGGGUAACGGCCACCUAGCCAACGAUGAAUAGGGGUUCUGAGAGGAAGGUCCCCCACACUGGAACUGAGACACGGUCCAGACUCCUACGGGAGGCAGCAGUGAGGAAUAUUGGUCAAUGGUCGGAAGACUGAACCAGUCAAGUAGCGUGAAGGAUGAAGGUUCUAUGGAUUGUAAACUUCUUUUAUACGGGAAUAAAACAUCCCACGUGUGGGAUCUUGUAUGUACCGUAUGAAUAAGCAUCGGCUAACUCCGUG